rnacentral:tRNA from 2 species
AGGGGAGUGGCUCAACGGUAGAGCAGCGGUCUCCAAAACCGCUGGUUGCAGGUUCGAAUCCUGUCUCCCCUGCCA